GAUGAAGAACGUAGCGAAAUGCGAUACUUGGUGUGAAUUGCAGAAUCCCGUGAACCAUCGAGUCUUUGAACGCAAGUUGCGCCCGAAGCCAUUAGGCCGAGGGCACGCCUGCCUGGGCGUCACACGUCGUUGCCCCCCCAUCUACUCCUUCGGGAUUGCGGGGGGCGGAUGAUGGCCUCCCGUGCGCCUCGCCGCGCGGUUGGCAUAAAUGCCAAGUCCUCGGCGACGCACGCCACGACAAUCGGUGGUUGCGAAACCUCGGUUGCCCGUCGUGUGCGGUCGUCGCGCAUCGAGGGCUCGAAAAAAUUGCCGGGUUCCGGCUCGGCUUUCAACGCGACCCCAGGUCAGGCGGGUUACCCGCUGAAUUUAAGCAUAUCAAUAAGCGGAGGA
rnacentral:misc_RNA from 1 species